rnacentral:rRNA from 1 species
AGCGAACGCUGGCGGCAGGCUUAACACAUGCAAGUCGAACGGGCUUCUUCGGAAGUCAGUGGCAGACGGGUGAGUAACAAGGGGGAACGUGCCCUUCGGUUCGGAAUAACUCAGGGAAACUUGAGCUAAUACCGGCUACGCCCUUUUGGGGAAAGGUUUACUGCCGAAGGAUCGGCCCGCGUCUGAUUAGCUUGUUGGUAGGGUAAGGGCAUUCCAAGGCGACGUUCAGAAGCUGGGAUGUGAGGCAGAGCCGCCACAACGAGGCUGAGACACGGUCCGGACUCCUACGGGAGGGGGCAGAGCGGGAUAUUGCACAAUGGCGUCAAGCAUGAUCCAGCCAUGCCGGGAGAGUGAUGAUGUCCUUAGGGUUGUAAAGCGCUUUUGUCCGGGACGAUAAUGACGGUACCGGAAGAAUAAGCCCCGGCUAACUUCGUG